UCCACUGGAGGAUUGAGGCCUCAGGAGACAAAUUCUAGGACCAUGUGAUGACCUCACAUCAGGGCACUACAUAGCAUGUAAACAGACCAUCAUCCUCAGGGAGCUGCUCAUUGGUCCAGUUUCCCUCAGAAGGUUGAGCCAGAACAGACAUUCCCUUGUGCACUCAGAGGACUCUCAGGAUCCAAGAAAGAGUUCCACUGCUCCCUGGAAGACCUUUCCCAAGCAUUUAUGGAAAUGGGAGAGCCAGCCC